rnacentral:rRNA from 1 species
GGCGGCAAAUAUCCUUUGAUCCGGAGAUGUCUGAAUGGGGGAACCCACCUACUUUAAGGUAGGUAUUGCAACAUGAAUACAUAGUGUUGCAAGGCGAACGAGGGGAAGUGAAACAUCUCAGUACCCUUAGGAAAAGAAAUCAAUUGAGAUUCCCUCAGUAGCGGCGAGCGAACGGGGAUCAGCCCAUUAAGUUAUGUGUGUUUUAGUGGAACGCUCUGGGAAGUGCGAACGUAGAGGGUGAUAUUCCCGUACACGAAAGGGCACACAUAAUGAUGACGAGUAGGGCGAGGCACGUGAAACCUUGUCUGAAUAUGGGGGGACCAUCCUCCAAGGCUAAAUACUCCUGACUGACCGAUAGUGAACCAGUACCGUGAGGGAAAGGCGAAAAGAACCCCUGUGAGGGGAGUGAAAUAGAUCCUGAAACCGCAUGCAUACAAGCAGUGGGAGCACCUUCGUGGUGUGACUGCGUACCUUUUGUAUAAUGGGUCAGCGACUUAUAUUCAGUAGCGAGGUUAACCGUAUAGGGGAGCCGUAGAGAAAUCGAGUCUUAAUAGGGCGUUUAGUUGCUGGGUAUAGACCCGAAACCAGGCGAUCUAUCCAUGAGCAGGUUGAAGGUUGGGUAACACUAACUGGAGGACCGAACCCACUGUCGUUGAAAAGCCAGGGGAUGACUUGUGGAUAGGGGUGAAAGGCUAAUCAAGCCUGGUGAUAGCUGGUUCUCCCCGAAAGCUAUUUAGGUAGCGCCUCGGACGAAUACCAUAGGGGGUAGAGCACUGUUUCGGCUAGGGGGUCAUCCCGACUUACCAAACCGAUGCAAACUCCGAAUACCUAUGAGUACUAUCCGGGAGACAGACUGCGGGUGCUAACGUCCGUAGUCAAGAGGAAAACAAUCCAGACCGCCAGCUAAGGCCCCAAAAUCAUAGUUAAGUGGGAAACGAUGUGGGAAGGCAUAGACAGCUAGGAGGUUGGCUUAGAAGCAGCCACCCUUUAAAGAAAGCGUAAUAGCUCACUAGUCGAGUCGGCCUGCGCGGAAGAUGUAACGGGGCUAAAACUAUGUGCCGAAGCUGCGGAUGUAUACUUUGUAUACGUGGUAGGGGAGCGUUCUGUAAGCCGAUGAAGGUGUGUUGAGAAGCAUGCUGGAGGUAUCAGAAGUGCGAAUGCUGACGUGAGUAACGACAAAACGGGUGAAAAACCCGUUCGCCGAAAGACCAAGGGUUCCAGUCCAACGUUAAUCGGGGCUGGGUGAGUCGACCCCUAAGGCGAGGCCGAAAGGCGUAGUCGAUGGGAAAAUGGUUAAUAUUCCAUUACUUCUGUGUAAUGCGAUGAGAGGACGGAGAAGGCUAAAUCAGCCUGGCGUUGGUUGUCCAGGUGAAAGGAUGUAGGCAUGUAUCUUAGGCAAAUCCGGGGUACUCUAUGCUGAGAUCUGAUAGCAAGCUGUACUUGUACAGCGAAGUGGUUGAUGCCAUGCUUCCAGGAAAAGUCUCUAAGCUUCAGUUACACAGGAAUCGUACCCGAAACCGACACAGGUGGUCAGGUCGAGUAGACCAAGGCGCUUGAGAGAACUCUGCUGAAGGAACUAGGCAAAAUGGUACCGUAACUUCGGGAGAAGGUACGCUGUUGUUGGUGAUGGAACUCGCUUCCUGAGCUGACGACAGCCGCAGAAACCAGGCCGCUGCAACUGUUUAUUAAAAACAUAGCACUCUGCAAACACGAAAGUGGACGUAUAGGGUGUGAUGCCUGCCCGGUGCUGGAAGGUUAAUUGAUGGGGUUAGCGUAAGCGAAGCUCUUGAUCGAAGCCCCAGUAAACGGCGGCCGUAACUAUAACGGUCCUAAGGUAGCGAAAUUCCUUGUCGGGUAAGUUCCGACCUGCACGAAUGGCAUAAUGAUGGCGGCGCUGUCUCCAGCAGAGGCUCAGUGAAAUCGAAAUCGCUGUGAAGAUGCAGUGUACCCGCGGCUAGACGGAAAGACCCCGUGAACCUUUACUGCAGCUUGACACUGAACUUUGACCUUACUUGUGUAGGAUAGGUGGGAGGCUUUGAAGCUGGAACGCUAGUUCCAGUGGAGCCGUCCUUGAAAUACCACCCUGGUAAUGUUGAGGUUCUAACUCUGUCCCGUGAUCCGGGACGAGGACCGUGUCUGGUGGGUAGUUUGACUGGGGCGGUCUCCUCCUAAAGAGUAACGGAGGAGUACGAAGGUGCGCUCAGCGUGGUCGGAAAUCACGCGUAGAGUAUAAAGGCAAAAGCGCGCUUAACUGCGAGACCCACAAGUCGAGCAGGUACGAAAGUAGGUCUUAGUGAUCCGGUGGUUCUGUAUGGAAGGGCCAUCGCUCAACGGAUAAAAGGUACUCUGGGGAUAACAGGCUGAUACCGCCCAAGAGUUCAUAUCGACGGCGGUGUUUGGCACCUCGAUGUCGGCUCAUCUCAUCCUGGGGCUGAAGCAGGUCCCAAGGGUAUGGCUGUUCGCCAUUUAAAGAGGUACGCGAGCUGGGUUUAGAACGUCGUGAGACAGUUCGGUCCCUAUCUACCGUGGGCGCUGGAAAUUUGAGAGGAUCUGCUCCUAGUACGAGAGGACCAGAGUGGACGAACCUCUGGUGUACCGGUUGUGACGCCAGUCGCAUCGCCGGGUAGCUAUGUUCGGAAGGGAUAACCGCUGAAAGCAUCUAAGCGGGAAGCCUACCUCAAGAUAAGAUUUCCCUAGGACUUUAUGUCCUCUAAAGAGCCGUUCGAGACUAGGACGUUGAUAGGUUGGAUGUGGAAGCAUAGUGAUAUGUGAAGCUGACCAAUACUAAUUGCUCGUGAGGCUUGACUAU